rnacentral:rRNA from 1 species
UCUUUAUAACUACUGCUUUUAAGGUGUAAUUUGAUAGUUUAAAAUAUGUCAUAAGCAAAGUUAUUUCGUUGGGGCGACGAGAAUAUAAUAAUUAACUGUUCUUGGAUUAAAAUACAAAAAUAUCUGCACUUAAAUGAUCCUUCAUAUAGAUUAAAAGUUUAAGUU